rnacentral:lncRNA from 1 species
CCAGGGUAAGGUGUAUGCCCUUCUUGGACCCAUACUUGUAAGGGUUUGGCCUGACCUUGGUGGUCUAAGUUGGUAGCCCCCAUACACAUAUGGGUCACCUCAUACGCAUAUGGGUAGGGAACUUAUUUAUGUACCUUCUUUGCUCUUACACGUAUAUCACAUGGUGGAGAGUACUGGCCAUACGCGUAUGAGAUCCCUCAUACGCGUAUGG